rnacentral:rRNA from 1 species
GACGAACGCUGGCGGCGUGCUUAACACAUGCAAGUCGAGCGGAAAGGCCCUUUCGGGGGUACUCGAGCGGCGAACGGGUGAGUAACACGUGAGUAAUCUGCCCUUCACUUGGGGAUAACUUCCGGAAACGGUGGCUAAUACCCGAUAUGACGUAGUCUCGCAUGGGAUCUGCGUGGAAAGUUUUUUCGGUGGAGGAUGUGCUCGCGGCCUAUCAGCUUGUUGGUGGGGUAAUGGCCUACCAAGGCUUCGACGGGUAGCCGGCCUGAGAGGGUGACCGGCCACACUGGGACUGAGACACGGCCCAGACUCCUACGGGAGGCAGCAGUGGGGAAUAUUGGACAAUGGGCGGAAGCCUGAUCCAGCAACGCCGCGUGAGGGAUGACGGCCUUCGGGUUGUAAACCUCUUUCAGUACCGACGAAGUUUUGUUCUUUUGGGCGAAGUGACGGUAGGUACAGAAGAAGCACCGGCCAACUACGUGCCAGCCGCCGCAGUAAAAC